UACGUAGGGGGCAAGCGUUGUCCGGAAUUAUUGGGCGUAAAGAGCGCGUAGGCGGUCCGAUAAGUCGGCUGUGAAAGUCGGGGGCUCAACCCUUGAAAGCCGGCCGAUACUGUCGGACUAGAGUCCGGAAGAGGCAAGUGGAAUUCCCGGUGUAGCGGUGAAAUGCGCAGAUAUCGGGAGGAACACCAAUGGCGAAGGCAGCUCGCUGGGACGUUACUGACGCUGAGGAGCGAAAGCGUGGGGAGCGAACAGG
rnacentral:rRNA from 1 species